CGCAUGGUUUGCCCUGGCGUCGUCCUUAUGUAUAGUUGUGCGACGGUUUGCAGAUUGACCUAUUUGCCCGAAUGUUUCAAUGCCCCUGCGACUCCUCCAGCUGUGUAUAGUACGCGCAUGCUUUUGGCAAAAGCGGCCGCUGUCCGAAAACAAAUGCAAAAAUGAAGAGACGUGGGACGUCGAGAUGCAGCUGUUGCUGCACUAGGCGGUCGCGGGUUUAGCUGAGUCUUUUUUCUCGGAGGAUGCUUUAUUUAGAACCGCCCUUGACUGGAGCACAUGCUUCUUUUUUUUUGCGUGGCUGACCUAUACCAGUGCUUCCCCUGCAUUAUUUUAUAGCACCUCUAGCGCACGCGAUGUUCAGCUAUAGCACUGAUGAUGUAGCGCGUUCAAGGCCUCUUGUAAACUUCAGUUGCCUCUUGUAAAGUUGUGCCCUCAGAGAUGUCUAAAAAUAUUAGUUUGAUUAUUGUCCUUAGGUCACUUCGAUCCCGUCCGCGCUGAAUAUUCUGCGGUCGAUCCACUGGAAUAUAUGCUGACGGCUUCCGAUUGGACGAUAAACGCUUGAAAGUGUGCAAUACAUCCAUAUGCAACAGCGAUGGAGAUGAUACUAAGAAACCCUGACGAUGAUUCUCUCGGACGCUGCUUUGAGCGCCACCGUCAAACGAGGGCGCCGUUUCGCGUCAUCCCACCUGCUCACGCGAAAACCAUGCUUUCUUUUGAGCAAGCUUUUGCUUUUACGUCUUAAUAGGAAAAGAAAACAAUGUAUACGUGUGUGUAUGUGUAUGGAAGACGGGGGGUCAUUGGACCAACAGCACCAAAACUAAUCAAAUGUAACGAGAACUCUAUCUAUUUAAGUAUAUGGUGCCGUGGUAUCUAUUGACAGCUGAAUUCUGAAUUUCCAUGCAGUUUGUAAUCCUGGUGAGAGGAGGAAGCCUGUAACGUUAGCAUGUAAGUGUUUCAGAAUACAAAGUGUCGCUUGGUCCAGUUUUACAUGCCUUUCUGUGCGAUAAGAAUGCGUAUGCUGGUUGGUAAUCUUGAAAAAAAAGAAAAAAGAAAAGACCGUGGCAGCGUAAACGAUAAAAUACGACACAAUACGUACGCGUCGCAUAUGUACCAAUCAAAGCGGAGUGUAUACUCCGAAAUGUGGUGGCUUGCAGUGAUCAGAAAUAAGCGAGCAAGCAAACUCAUGUCUUUCGUUGUCGUUAGUCUUUCGGUAAUCAUGUCUUUCGUUUCGCUGCCUUCGUCAGGUCGACAACAGUUGUCCCCCUGACGAAAGCAAGAACACGUGUGCGUGAACCACAAUAG
rnacentral:lncRNA from 1 species